AAAAAGAUAAGCUAAUUAAGCUAGUGGGCUCAUACCCCACCUAUGGGAAUUUCAACUUCUCUCUUUUUA
rnacentral:tRNA from 1 species